rnacentral:rRNA from 1 species
GAUGAACGCUGGCGGCGUGCCUAAUACAUGCCAGUCGAGCGAACGGACGAGAAGCUUGCUUCUCUGAUGUUAGCGGCGGACGGGUGAGUAACACGUGGAUAACCUACCUAUAAGACUGGGAUAACUUCGGGAAACCGUAGCUAAUACCGGAUAAUAUUUUGAACCGCAUGGUUCAAAAGUGAAAGACGGUCUUGCUGUCACUUAUAGAUGGAUCCGCGCUGCAUUAGCUAGUUGGUAAGGUAACGGCUUACCAAGGCAACGAUGCAUAGCCGACCUGAGAGGGUGAUCGGCCACACUGGAACUGAGACACGGUCCAGACGCCUACGGGAGGCAGCAGUAGGGAAUCUUCCGCAAUGGGCGAAAGCCUGACGGAGCAACGCCGCGUGAGUGAUGAAGGUCUUCGGAUCGUAAAACUCUGUUAUUAGGGAAGAACAUAUGUGUAAGUAACUGUGCACAUCUUGACGGUACCUAAUCAGAAAGCCACGGCUAACUACGUG